AGUGAACGCUGGCGGUAGGCCUAACACAUGCAAGUCGAACGGCAGCACAGUAAGAGCUUGCUCUUACGGGUGGCGAGUGGCGGACGGGUGAGGAAUACAUCGGAAUCUACUUUUUCGUGGGGGAUAACGUAGGGAAACUUACGCUAAUACCGCAUACGACCUACGGGUGAAAGCAGGGGAUCUUCGGACCUUGCGCGAUUGAAUGAGCCGAUGUCGGAUUAGCUAGUUGGCGGGGUAAAGGCCCACCAAGGCGACGAUCCGUAGCUGGUCUGAGAGGAUGAUCAGCCACACUGGAAGUGAGACACGGUCCAGACUCCGACGGGAGGCAGCAGUGGGGAAUAUUGGACAAUGGGCGCAAGCCUGAUCCAGCCAUACCGCGUGGGUGAAGAAGGCCUUCGGGUUGUAAAGCCCUUUUGUUGGGAAAGAAAAGCAGCAGGUUAAUACCCCGCUGUUCUGACGGUACCCAAAGAAUAAGCACCGGCUAACUUCGUG
rnacentral:rRNA from 1 species